rnacentral:lncRNA from 1 species
CGUGAUCCGCCCGCCUCAGCCUCCCAAAGUGCUGGGAUUACAGGCGUGAGCCACCGCGCCCGGCCGACAUAUUCUUUAUUAAUAGAGCUCAGCACCCAAAACCACAUUACCUAGAGAUUCAGCAUCACUGUUUUUAUGUGUCUAUGUCAUUGUGUUUUCACAAUGUGUCAUCUGAAAUAUGACCACCUGGGCAUGCAAUGCUGCCAGGCUCUUUUCCUAAAAGGUGAUGGGUGGAAAUGGGGCAGAGAUGGUUAAGCCUUGAUGGUGGAGGUGGAGCGGGUGAUCAGGGAAGAACAGAUCUGGGCGUUUGUGGGCAGCAGGAUAGGAUGGUUUGGCUUAGGAGAAGUGGACAAAGUGGAUGAAAGAAGGCAGCAGAACUGAGGAAAACCAUGGUGGUGGGGAGACCAGGUCAGUGCCCAACAGAGCCCCAGAGUCCAGGGUCCACCCUCUUCUCAUCCACCAGCUGGGCCUACUGAUUUGUUCUUUUUGGCUCUCUUUCUUCUCCUAGUCAUCAAUUCCUCUUUCAUUCUUGCUGUAGCUGCACUUUUCCCUUCUCCCAGACCUCAGCUUCAGCUUUGCCAGUGGUGCCCUUUUGUCCUUGCUCCUGGCUCCAGAGCUCCAGGUGUUACUGUUGCCAAAAGCUACCAGCUUUGGGGGCUGUGAUUGAAUUUCUAUUUUCAACAUGAGGGAACAGGAGGUUUGGCAUCUCUGUUGGCUCUGUUGGGCUGGAGUUUGAAAUGUGAACUCCUGGACAGUCUUCUGGAUGCUACUCUGCAUUUGUUACACAUCUGAGCAAUGAGGGUAGUGCCCUGUGUCAUUUAGUUGCCCUUUAGCAUUGAGAGUAUAUGCUCUUGUGCAACAGAGGGUGAACCUGUAAUAAAGGCCUGGAAGAUGUAUCUGGAUGCAUUGGUUUGUGGAGUGAAUGGGAGAGAGUGAAGGUAUUAAUAAGCUGUGGGCUGUGUCGGGGCAGCCACUUGGUCCAACUAUGCGUCUCUCCAUACCCAGCUUCAAUCAUAAGCACGGGCCCAAUCACUCAGUUAGAACUUACUAAAGAUAGGAAUGAAUGAAUGAAUGAAUGAAUGAAUGGAGUGGACAAAUUAAUAAUGCCGCAUGGAAACAAAGAAGGACAGGAACAUGAAAGUAAAGGAUUGCUUUGUCUGAAAACCAUACAGGCAGUAAAGGGCACACGUCUUCCUGGCACUCGGGGAAGCCGCACUGCCAGCAGCAGCUCUCGAGAGCUAGGACGCUGCACAGAAGCUAUACAUUUCCGAAGACAGAGAAGAGGAAAAAGGAGGUAGAGUCUGGUAUGAGGGCACCAGGGAACAUUUCCUUACUUCACAAUUUGGUGAACUGAGUAGAACUGCCUGACAUCACACAGAGGGUAAACUUCUGCCUAGGGCCAUGGAAAAAGGCAAGAAGGUCCCGUGACCAAGAAAUGACCAGCUCCACAGAGGAAAUGCAGGGCCACUCUCCGACUGGACCCCACUGUGCACAAGGUGAGAAUUCAGCCUGUUUAUCAGGGUUUCCCUUAUUAAAGUAUAUGUCAAAAAGGCCUGGUAGAAAUGUAACUCUGUGAUGUUAAUUUUGGAAAGUCUCAUCUAGAACUUUCUGGGAAGUAUUUGAAAGCACAGUUGUGGAAUCAUUUGAAGACUCAAACAUAUAAAUUAAACACUCUUCUUGGAUACAGCAGUUAGAAUAUGGAACAGAUAGGGUCUACAUUGGAGAAAUGAGAGAUGUGGCAAGUGCUUAGCCUCUCUGAGACUCAGUCUCAAUGUCUCCAUCAGGGACAGCUAGCUAGCUCACGGAAUUAUUGUGAGGGUUCACUGUUAUAAUUUAUUCCAAGGUCCACUGCAGCACCGAGGACAUAGGUGGCACUCAAGAAGCAGUGGCCAGUAGUAUUCUCUGCUAAAAUAUUUGCCACCUCAGCCACUUUGAUUCUGCUCCAGAGGGCUUUUUCGCUCAUCCCAUUGGCGACACAAGGCAGGUUAACUAAAGAUACUCUCACCUAAUCUAAAAAUUCAAGACAUCAGUCCACAAAAUACCAGAAUCACCAUGGAGGCAGCUGUUUAGCACUUUGGAUAGUCUAUUUCUCCCCCUAAAAACAGCCUACUUAAAACAGGGGAGAGUUAAGGUUCCAGGAUCUUACUCCUGAGAUUUUUUAUUUAAAGAACACCCCAUCUUUACUCGCAGCUGAGAGGCUAAGAUUAAAAAUUAGCCACUGUAUAGUAGCUGAGCAGUGACAAUUUUUCAUAAAGGUUUUUAGUACACAUUUGGGAUUAUAAUUUCAAUAUUAUGCAAAUGCAUUUUAUGGAUCUAUAAUACAGAAUGUGUACUGGCGUUAAUGUGCAUUAGCAGGCGAGAAGAAAAGGCUCCAAAUGAGCCAUUUUGGUGUCUGCUUUCAACAUGUAUUAUGAAUAAUAAGUAAAAUGUUCUGGUUUAGAACAAAUAAUAUAAAAUCUGAAUUCUUCUUGAUGUACAUCAGUGACAAAGCCCUACGCAACUCCCAUGGAAUUAUUCCAUUGGACACAAUUUAAAACUGGCUCUUAAACAAUAUAUUCCUGUUUCUGGCUUCUCUUCUUGAAUGAGAUGUGAAAGUAAAAUAAAUAUAUUUAAUAUGAAUACGGGAUAGUUCCCCCCAUUGCUCAAAAUCAGGCAUGAACUAGAUGAAGGCAUUGGGAAGGCUGAAACACCAUAGUGGUCAAGAGAGUGGCCCAGGAUACUUGUAAUUUGAGAGGCUCUGAGUAUUGAAAAGUGAAGAAGCAUCUAAAUAGGGUUAUAUAACUUGCAUAUUUUCAAUGAAUAAAAUUAACAAAUAUAAUGCCUUUAACACAAAAUAUUUAAUACAAGAUGACUGUAUUAUUCUGAAGAUAUUUAAAUGAUGUGUAAGUAAUAUUUCUUAAUGUAAUGUGCUGCAAGCUUUGUUCCAAAAUGGGAACUUGAGUUGAAAUUUGUCUGAUGUCUAUUUUCUUUCAGCCUUGUCAGAGUGUUUCUGUGACUGCAGAUUAGAAUAAAAUUCUCACAAACUAAUUUGAGGCUUUUCGUAAAGGCAGAGGACUGAGCCAAACAACUAGCUUCUCAUGAUAGAGCCCCAAAAUGUUUCCUUUUUAAUUAAUAUUUCCAUGUUGCAAUUUUGCAUGUACAGAAGGUGGUAGCUGGUUAUUUUAGUAGUAAUUCAAACUUUCUAUUUGCAUUGAUUUAGUUAAGACUUUCAGAUCUAUUGACCCUGUUUCUUGAAUGCAUGUUUCACACCUGCCCCAUUCUUGGGCAGCCUGCAGGAAUACAAGAUCACACUGUCCAAUGAGUAUGGACUAAGCAUUCAGCUGAGUAACAAUAAUACAAUCAUCUUGUCUCUCAAACAGGUGCCCUUAACUUAAUGUUUUUUAAAAUGCCACCACGUCCAUGACAUCUUCAAAAUGAUACUAAAAAUAUCCAUGCGAUGAGUUCUGUGUGUGUUAAGUGUUUUAUAUGCAUUAUCUCAAUUGACUUCCAAAGCAACCUCACAAGGUCAGUUUUACAAUCCCCAUGAAAUGGUUGAAGAAUUUGGAGUCUAAAAAGACUAAGUAAUUUGUACAAAAUCACAAUUAUACAGGUCUAAUUUUGCAACCCAAACUCUUGACCAGUAUAUAACCCUGAAUCCAGUAUUAAUGUAGUAGAUAAUUGUCUUGGCUUAAUUUAUCAUAUAAGUUAUAGAAAUGGUGUUUUGUCCUUACUCUGACAUGGGGACUAUAAUUGACACUAAAAUCUGAAUCAAUUUCAACCAGUCAUUGCUUCACUUCACUACUUGUCUACAUUGCUGCAGUUGGUUGCUGCUUUCCAUUUCCCCCGAUGCUUUUCCAUUCGAGAUGGAGGUCUGUGGAAGGAAAGAUGGAUACAGCAAGAGGGUCUAUCCAAGAACCCAAUAAAUAUGUACUGCAUAAAUAAAUCAGAUGUUUUAAAUUUGGCAAUUUAAAUUCAGCAAAAAGUCUUUGACAACCUGUGGAGUGUAAGCUAUGGUUUCUAUCCUUGCAACCUUAAAAUUUCAAAAAGCCCCAAAUUCAAGCUUAUCAGUAGCAAGGAAGCCCUUCCAAAUAUUAACUUACAAUCAAUAUUGGAAAAAACUGAGUAGUAUAUUGUGUCCUAUUUUGAAAACAAGCUAUUUGCCAUGUGUAGAUAAGAUUCCUACACUAAAGAUAUCUUUUUAAUAGUUGAAAUAUGAGAUGCCGAGUAAUAAAACUUGAAGUACAGUGGAGCAGCUCUGAGAGAACAAGUGGCACAUUGCCUUGAAAUAAUACUCUCAACGCCAUUUGCUGAGUCUUCUAUGCUCUUGGCCCUUUGCACAAUCUCACUUAAUCUUCACUGCACCCUGUAAGGUAAAUAUUAUUAUCUUCAUUUUACAGAUGAGGAAAUUGAAGCUUACAUAAAUUGUCUGAGGUCACACAGUUAAUAAGUGGUUGAAUGUGGAUUUAAUUCGAGGUCUGCUUUAUUUCAAAGUGAUUCAGUGAGUGAGACAGAGAGAAACAAAGAGAAGACAGUGGUUUUUAAAGAAAGAAUGAAUCUCAAUUUUCUGAAACCCUAUAGCAAUUCCUGCCUUUCUUGUGGCUCUUACCAUAUUCUGCUGUUAUUUCUGGAUUUCUUAUAUAACCUUUACUGAAUUAUAAGCUAUUCUAUUUGAGAGAAGAGACCACACACAAACCAUUUCUGUAUUCCCCCAGGACCUUGUUCAGUGCCUGGAACAAAGUAGGUAUUCAAGAUACCUUUCACUUAUUCCUCAUAUAUUUGCUGGGUGUGGUUAAGCCCAGUAAAGAAGACAAGUCAUGCCUUCCAGGAGCUUCUAGCUCAGGGGAGAAAGUGAUUGAAGACCCAGUGUUCUAAACUGGGUGUGGCACCACAGUGAUGGGAAGUAGGGGAAGCCAAGGGGAAGCUGACUGACUGGUGGGCUCAACCAAGGUUUCCCGAGGAAGAGGUCAUCCAAAACCAUUCUUGAAGCUUCAGUAAGAGCCAAGCAAAGAGGGUGGGGAAAGCCUCACAAAGCGAGAAGGAUCAGGAAUGCACAAAGGCCCUGAAAUUAGAGAUAAGCACAAAGCCUGUUUCCAAGGAUUACAAAUCACCUGGAGAUUACUGGAGGACAAGAGAAAGGGGAGAAACAGCAAGACAGAAGGUGGCAAGGUAUCCGCUGUGAAGUCUAGAAGGACUGUGUACACCAUGGUAAAGUAUUUCUCUAUCCUGAUCUUUCUGGGGAGGGUUUAUGCAGAGGAGAGGCAAGACAAGGCAUAUAUUUGAGAAAGAGGAUCAUUAGCUGAAUUGUGGAGAACAGACUCGAAGAGGAUGCUACUGGUUGCAGGGAACAGGAAAGAAAACCAAGGAAGCAAUCACUAAAGCCAGUGGGAGGGAGGGUCUUGCCAUUAGAGAAGAGAAGGCCAUUUUGUAUACACAGCUGACGCUUGAACAACACAGGUUUGAACUGUGAGAGUCCACUUAUAUUUGGAAUUUUUUCAAUAAAAGUUACAUGGAGUGUGCCUGCCUCUCCUGCCUCCUCUUCCACCCCCGCCACCCUUGAGACAGCAAAACCAACCAUUCCUCUUCCUCCUCUUCCUCAGCCUGCUCAAUGUGAAGAUGACGAGGAUGAAAACCUUUAUGAUGAUCUACUCCUAUUUAUGUGGACUUGCUCUGGAUUAGGGAUGAGAAGACCUGACUCUACUGUUUUCUUGAUAAGUGACCUUGAACCAGACACAUGUGCUCAAGUUCCAUAUCUGUAAAAUGAAGAUACCUGGCCUUCCUACUUCACAAGGUUCUUUUGAAGAUCAAAUGUAAUACUGCAUAAUAAAGUGACUCAUAAAUUCUUUUUUUUUUUUUUUUUGAGAUGAAUUCUCACUCUGUUGCCCAGGCUGUCAUGACCUGGUGCAAUUUCAACUCACUGCAACCUCCGCCUCCAGGGUUCAAGAGAUUCUCCUACCUCAGCCCCACCGAGUAGCUGGGAUUACAGGCAUGCACCACCACUCCCGGCUUUUUUAUUUUAUUUUUAUUUUUUGUAUUUUUUGUAUUUUUAGUAGAGAUGGGGUUUUGCCAUUUUGGUGAGGUUGGUCCUGAACUCCUGACCUCAAGUGACCUGCCCGUCUUGCCUCCCAAAGUGCUGGGAUUACAGGAGUGAGCCUCUGCACCUGGCCUGACCCAUAAAUUCUAAAGUACUAAGUGAUGUCCUCAUAUAUAGCACAGUCCCUCCAGCCCCUGCAAUUCAAAGAUACAUCUCACUGUACUUAGGAGAGUUAGAGUAGAGGCAUGACCUAACUUGUUAGCUGUUUAUCUCCUAUAGAAAGUGGUCAACAGAUCUUUGUUGGUAAAAUGAAUGAAUAUUCAUUUCUUAUCUUUCAAUGAGAAUGUGAUAACUUUGGUUAUUGAUGUAUACUUCCGUGCAAAUUUGCUCAUGCAAUUUCAACCACAUCCCCCAGAACAACUUUCUACCAUGCUAAUUGCUCCGAACAUUUAAAUACCAGCAUAGGAAUGGAAGCUACUGACUGUUAACAUUUCUCACAUUUAGUUGCUGAAUGCCUCUCACAUUUACUUACUGAAUGUGUGCUUUAGACCAUCUUAAAAAUAUAAUAGUAUGUCUGAUAAAGAGGCCCAUCAGUCCUCAAAAUGUCUUCAUCUUUUAGUGUUGAAACAAUAAUGAUGAUUUGCUUCAUUUGUGCUCUACACACCAAUGAGAUGAGCUAACUGCAUAUCUACUAUGAAAUAAUGUCUAUUAUUACAUGGAUAACUACCCAUUAACUCCAUUGGAAACACUGGUAAUUACACAGUAUGUUACGUUAAUGCACCUGUGUUAGCUUCUGAUUGCCAUAUUAUUAAUUCAAGUGACCUCUUGAAUUAAUUCAAGUUUCCCAUCAUCAUUUUCUUAUUCUGGAACUCUCUAACACUUUAGAGACUGUUGGCUAAACAAUAAAAGUAUACAGUGAAAACUAUUUUCAAAAAAAAGAGGAUCUGAUGUGUGAUCCCAUUGAUGUUUGUUGUUGUUUUUCACUUCUUUGCUUGACAUAUAUAAACAACUUUAGAGCUAUAUUCUGUUACCUUCUGUGCAAAAUUAGAACAAUUUUCACUUUGUGAAGAGUUGCAGAAAGAUUUGACCUUUAAAAACUCUGAAACACGUCUGGUUCACAAACAGAAUCACAUCUUAAAAGCCCUAAGUUUGCUCUAAAAGUGUCAAUCAAGUUUUCAGCACACUAACACACGUAAUAAUGAAAGGCUUGUAUUUGCUCCUAAAACCCAAGUUGCCUCCCAGUCACUCUGCAUCUGGUUACACCAAACUUAACUUUUCUACAGUCCAUCUAGUCCUGACCUUCCCCUCUUCUUACGAGCCCCCAUUUAACCAAAGCAACUCCAGCCCAGGAGAUGAAAACCCCAUCAGCAUUUUCAUAGUUAAUGACAGGGCUACAAAACAGAAAAUAACAGCGGGAAUCUGAAGCCAGUGCUUUUAUUGGACUAACUAACGAUAUAAAUAAAAUGGUCCCUGACUGAGCUUUGGAGAAUCACUGUCUCUUUAUCAGGCCAUAGAAAACAGAUCCAGGAGGGCAAUAAAUACAGCACAUAACAGAGUGGAAUUAAAUGAUUAGGCCUGAAUUAACACCCUGUUUCUGAGCCUCACUUAGUGUUCCAUGGCCCCAAUGAAACACUGCAAUUCACAAAUGCUCAAGGCCCAUUUAAUUUUUAUUUCAAGCUAGUUCAGAAGAAGGGAUUACCUAUAACUCCCCCCUAUUCCAUUGUGUAACUCUCGAAGUAACAACACUGAUCCUGUCUAGAUAGCUGUUAGGAAAAUAGGCUGUGCUAUAGGAAACACAGAGUCUAUUCAGAAUCCUGCCUCUACAAAAAUCACAUUAAUUCAAAGGGACCAAAUCCCUCUCUGUGAAAGUGACAAGGCUGUCCUUGAUGGGAAAAUAAUGAAUUAUUAGUUAAAUAAACUUGAUUAUUUUCCAUGACAUUAACAACAAACCUAUGCAACUGUCAGCCCAAGAUUUUUACUUUUUGAACUGUGGCUUUAGCAUGCCAAAGAUCCUAAUCAAGUCUUAACUGCAAAAUGGAAUUGAAUCUCACCUUGGAGGGUAAUCUAUGGAGGCCCAUCCCCCAUUACACCAUAUGUCACAGGAUAAGGUGGAUGAGUUUCACUUAAACCCUGUUGGCGGGGAGUUAAUAUUGUUCUAUACGUCUUCAUUUAUACAAUGGCUUUAGAGCAAGAAAUCCAAGGAUGGCAUAAGAGGAAGGCUUCACUGUAGCAGUGAAGUACUUAGAAAUUUUAGACGAAAUAUGCAGCAGAUGAAACUGAGUCAUUAAAACCACUUGUAUACCUGUGACUUGAAGUGAUGUAUGAGAUGGAGAUAUAUUUAGAAGGCAAGGUCCUCAAGAGGUAAGAGAGCUUGCAGUUUUGAGCACUUAGUAGAUGCUGUGUGCUGGUUUUUAUUUUUCCUCAUUUAAUCCUCACACUGUCCUAUAAAGUUGACAUAAUUAUUCCUGUUUACAAGUAAGGAAACUGACCCUCAAAGAGGAGUGUAAUAAUUGCCCAAGUUCACACAGGAAGUGGUAAGGCUGAGAUUCAAAUCCAGAUCUAGCUGAUUCCAAAGCCAGCCCUUUCCGUCAAUACUAUGACUGUCACCUGCUUAGAACUCCUGACUGCUGCCUGGAGCUUUUACUUGGGAUCUUCUAGAAUAACCAAAGAAACAACACACAGAAGAGGAUGAGACUAAUGAAGUAUAGUCUCAAACAGUAGGAAAAAACCCCAAGGGCUUUGGCACUGGAUGAGAUUAACUCUUAUAAAGCCCCAGGAGAUCCAGACAUUCAGUGAAUUAAGGAGCCCUCCUCUGAAAUUAAAUGAACCUGCCUGUCCAAAACUGCUUCCGAGUGUCAGCCAUGGCGUACAUGGGGUCCAGACUCUAUCAUCACCCUGAAAGGGCACCUUGAGCCUUGACUGAAGUAGAGCAGGGAGGAUUCUUCCACAUUUUCAAGAGUAUGAGGUUUGACCACACCCAAGUUUACCCUACCAGUCGGUUCAGCAUAGCGUGUAGCUGUGUAUGGGACAGAAAGGGACACCUAUUAGAUGGAACCUUCUGCCCCAACACUUUUGUACUACAAAAUAACUGUAAUUGUGGCUCAAAUUUAUGCUUAAGUAACUUCAGUGAAACAAUAACACACACAUAACUCUCAGAAAGCAAUCUUACUCAAAAGGCUUGGGCACUGAUACAUUGUGAAGAAAUUACACAAUAUGAAUUUUUUUUAAAAAGGUAAUCACUAGAAAGUUUACAGAUGAUAGAUUCAUGUUAGCAAAAGAGUGUUAAGUAUCUGUUGAAUUACAACUAGACACUUAUGGAAAGUGUCUAAUUUCACUUUCUCUGCACUAUCUUUCUGUAUUACCAGUACCCAAUAAAUUAAAUGCUUUUGACAUUCAAUCAAUAUUACAUGGUAAUAAUCACAUCUUUUCAUUAAAAAGGAUAAAUUCCUUAAAAUUUUAUGUUUUAAGAAAAGGUCUUUGUUUACCAAAAGGGAUAGCAAAAUGAUUUAAGUGAGUUUAAUUUGAAUUAUUAAUUUUUUGUUCCUCGGCCAGCAGUUCUUCAGCAAAGGUCUAGAUUAUGGUGAUUGUUCUUGGUUGUGGUUUUUUAACAGUAAUGACAAGGCCCUUGAUAUCCUCUGGCCUUGACUUAGACACAAUUGCAGGCCUCCUUUUCACCUUUAGUUUUAGUAUUAAGGAAAAUCUAUCUCACUGUCAGGAAUAAAAGCCAGACUAUGUCUUUGAAUUUGAGUCCUUGUCUACUUGACUCCACAGCAAGCCAUAGUUUUAAGCAGCUUUUUUGGGAGAUAGGACCACGUGAAGCAUCUGCCAUGCCCAUUUGCUUAUUUAAGUACUUGUUUUUGUAUUUUGAAAGCAUAACUUCAGUUUAAAAAAUCCACAUAAAAAUGGGGUAAAACUUGGAACAAAAUUAUGGACUACCAGAGGUUUUCACUUACAACUGGCUACAGAAGCAGAGUGCAAUGCAAUCACAAAGAAUUAUUCCUUUAAAAUUGUGAGGUAUCACAUCUGCAUUUUUGAGUGAAUAGCUGACUAUGAUAAAGAGACCAGUUUUACCUUUGUAAAGCUGUAUGUCUCUUCCACGAAGUAGUUCUUUCAUCUAACAUGCGGAUUGCAAUAACUUACAG